UACGAAGGGUGCAAGCGUUAAUCGGAAUUACUGGGCGUAAAGCGCGCGUAGGUGGUUCAGUAAGUUGGAAGUGAAAUCCCCGGGCUCAACCUGGGAACUGCUUUCAAAACUGCUGAGCUAGAGUACGGUAGAGGGUGGUGGAAUUUCCUGUGUAGCGGUGAAAUGCGUAGAUAUAGGAAGGAACACCAGUGGCGAAGGCGACCACCUGGACUGAUACUGACACCGAGGUGCGAAAGCGUGGGGAGCAAACAGG
rnacentral:rRNA from 1 species